rnacentral:rRNA from 1 species
GAGAAAAGUCAUUUUGCAAGAACACAUCCAAUCUCAUUUGAUUUCUGAAGCUAAGCAGGUUCAGGCCUACUUAGUAUGUGGAUGGGAGAAAAGUCACUUUGCAUUUCUCU